AGAGGAUACCCAAAAGAAAAAAGAAAAGAUAAAAUCGAACGAAAAAAAGGGAGAAAUUCAAACCCUACACUAGACAAAGUCGGAACCGAAUAUACCUCGUCGCUUCCCCCGGAUCCUUCCUGUUCUCUUCUCUUCUCUUCUUCCCCCAAAUCCAAUCCCCCCAUAACCAAAUCUCUCACCACCUUCUCCAUUUCCACCCCCACCCUUGUGUCAAGGCGAUGGCCGGAGGCGGCGGCGCAGGCUCUUCGUCGGGCGGCGGGGGUGGGAGCGGGGGGAGAGAGGGCGACUGGGACUGCGGCGGCUGCGGCAACCGCAACUACGCCUUCCGAUCGCUCUGCAACCGCUGCAAGCAGCCGCGCCUCCUCGUCGACCCCCACACCCCGCGCGACUCCAAGUGGCUCCCCCGCGCUGGGGACUGGAUCUGCACCGGUUGCAGUAACAAUAAUUAUGCAUCCAGAAAGAACUGCAAAAAGUGUGGCCUGCCCAAGGAGGAAGCAGCAAUGCCAGCAUUGCAAAUGGCAGGGAUGGCUAUUCCAGCUUAUGCAAAUUAUAUUGCCAGAGUACAAAGCCUUGCUGCUUCUGGCUUUAAGAUGAACUUUGGGAUGGCUAGCAAUGCAGUGUUGCAGCAGCAACUAUUUGCAAACGCAAACUGGCCCUAUGGGUUGGCUGGUAGAUAUGGAAUGCAGUCUUCUGGUUGGCCAUUUGGCAGUAGCAAUACAAAUCAGUUCCCAGGUGUCCCAAAAGACUGGCGUAAUGGUGAUUGGCUCUGCAGCUGUGGAUUUCAUAACUAUUCAUCUCGUACUCAGUGCAAAGAGUGUAAUGCCCCUGUACCAUCAGGCAUUCCCUCCACAACAAUGAAAACUACGUCAGACACUUCUUCCACAUUAGGAACUAAGCGGUUGGCAUCAGAGGAACUUGCCAAUGACUGGGAUAAUAAAAGGCUAAAUCCAGGAAAUGCAAAUUAUCCACUUUCACAGGCUCAGAUAACUUGUUUAUGGGUAUUGAGCAAGGAGCUGGAAGCAGCAAUGGCCAGACACCUUAUGCCAAGUUUGACAAUGGGAGCUCAAUAACAUUACCAUCUGGGCAGGCGAUGCCUGGUCUUAUGGGAAAAGGGGCUAAAUGGCGCGAGGGAGACUGGAUGUGCAGUAACUGCAACAAUCACAAUUAUGCAUCUCGUGCGUUUUGCAACAGGUGCAAGACUCAGAAAGAAUCUUCAGUUCACCCUGGUGUGCUAUAGCUUGCUUGUGCUGGUUUGUAGCUCGUUGCAGUAUUUUUGAAGUUUCGAGGAUAUGUUGCUGCCGGUUUGUAGCUGCCCUGCCAGGACUGUUGCGUUGAACUCUGUUUCUGCAGUGCUUUUGCUGCUCUUUAAUGUCCGUGCCUUGGUGUUUUACACUUGUACUAGAGUUUACUGAAGUUUUCCAUUUAUUUAUGAUAAGCGCUUGGAUAAAAUGUCUCCGGAGUGUAUGAGUGUACUAUGUGAAUUUUGAAAUAAUUAAAUUAUUUCUCUAGUAA